rnacentral:lncRNA from 1 species
UACACACCAAACAAGCAAAUGAAUCAAUGAAUGGUAACAGUGCAGGCAACUUUACUUGCUCCCAAUUUCAUCUUGAACUUGUAUCAGAAAGUAGUUUACGAGAGGAAAAUGCUUAGGCAUCAGAAUGUCAAUAUAUAUAUAUAUAUAUAUAUAUAUAUACAUACAUACACACACAAGCAAACAAGCACAAGCAAAAUUUGGAUUUUAAUAUACACAGAGCAAUGCAGUUUCAAAAACUUGAGAAUAUUAACUCUUAACUGUAAAAUUAUUGUUACUAAUCACAUUAUGAUCGUCAAUACCAUUGUUGAUAUUACCAUGGGUUGAUUAAUUCAAUACUUGAGAAGUUCUAUAAAAACUCUAAACAUGCAAAAUAAAUCAAUAAUGUUUUAUACACAUGUACAUAUUAUUAUAAACACAUUUUUUGAAUGUGGAAAAUUCUUAAAUCAUUUUUGUUUGCCAACCACCUCUAAUACUCCACCAAGAAUCAUAAACAAACUUCCAAUUUUUUUCUGGUCAAAAGGUUGUCACGUUUUAUUUUAUUUUCUUUUUCCAAAGCAAUUCUACUACUAUCCUCAUAACUUCGUUGGUUUGAUCUGGAGGAAGGAAGGAAAAUGCAAAGCAUAAAUACUGAAAUUUUGUAGGAAAAAGAGAAAAAUGUUAAACAAUGA